GCAAAUGGUUACAUUUGGCUGCUAACCAAAGGGUUGGUGGUUCAAGUCCACCCAGUUGCA
rnacentral:tRNA from 1 species